rnacentral:rRNA from 1 species
UACGAAGGGGGGCUAGCGUUGCUCGGAAUGACUGGGCGUAAAGGGCGCGUAGGCGGCUCAUACAGUCAGGCGUGAAAUUCCUGGGCUCAACCUGGGGGACUGCGCUUGAGACGUGUGGGCUUGAGUGGGGAAGAGGGUCGUGGAAUUCCCAGUGUAGAGGUGAAAUUCGUAGAUAUUGGGAAGAACACCGGUGGCGAAGGCGGCGCCUGGUCCUUGACUGACGCUGAGGCGCGAAAGCGUGGGGGAGCGAACAGG